UCACCUUGUUCUAUAAUAAUGGUACUAAGAACUAUAAAUUAGCUGGUGGUUCUCGACCUAGCAAUCAUCAUCAUCAUAAUUACCUGGGAGUUAAAACACAGGCUUUUAUGAUUUAGCAGGUCUGGGGCCUGAGAAAUUGCAUUUCUUACAAGUUUCCAGUUGAUGGGAUAGUGCUGGUCUGGGACCACACUUCAAGAACCCUGAAUUAGGUAAUCCACAUUACACAUUCAACAGAGGAUUUGGCAUACAGUAAAUAAAUGCACAACAAUAACUAGUUAUCAGCUAACGUUUUGUUGAGCACUUACUGUAAACCAGGCACCCUGCUAUUUCUACAUAUUACCUUAUUUAAACCUCAUGGCUUCCCUGAGAGGUAGGUGAUGUGAUGCUUGUUUUACAGAAAGGGAAACUGAGGUCCAGGGACAACCAGAAGUGACUGAGCCUGCACGUGCACCCAGUUCUGACUUGGAAGCCCACGCUCCAUUCACCAGCAGCCCCGCCACACUGAGGACUGAGCUAGUCCCAGCUAGCUGCCCCGCCCCUUUUUAAUUUUAACUUUGUUUGAGGAAAAUCUUUCAAUGUGUCUCACACGUCCCUGCCUUCUUCCAAGUGAGCUGAAUGCAGAUCAACUUCCUCUGCAUGACUCAACAGCAGCAUUUUGAACAUCAGUGACAGUCAUUUUCCAGAGUGUCUGCACUGGGCCUCCUCCAGGGGCAGCCUGAGCUGUGGCCUUGGACACCACCUCCAGUUCUCUUCCUCCAGCUGCCUUUCCCAGCUCCAUCUGAGAAGUCGAGGCCAGGACAACCCAGCAGUUAGCCCAAUGCUUCUUACCGAAAAAACAGCCUCCUGUUGCCCUCCUCUCCUGGGUCCCCGGGCUACUCCAAGCUCUGCUCUUGCCCAGCUCCCCUUGUCAAUCAAAACAGAUUCAGCCUUCACAGGAAGCAAUUUGGCAUCUGGUAUCAAGAGGUUUAAAAUCCUCUUUCCUAAAAAUGCCACUCCUAGGACCCUCUCCUAAAGAAGUAAUAAAAGAUGCAAAGAAUGAUGAACAAAGGUGAUCUUCACAUUCAUAAGAUACAAAACGUUAAAGGAUCUAAGUGAGCAAUAAUUGGAGAAUGAUUAGAUAAAUGAUGCUGUACCCACGUACUGAAGGAUUAUACCACAAACGUGAACAGCAGAAGAAAUGUUUGUUUCAUGCAUUUUCAUCAUCCUUGGAUGGUAGCGUCUUUUUAAAAAUCUUUGCUUAAUGGAAACACAAAAGAAGGGCAUCUAGUUUCUACUUUAUUUUUAUUUCUUUGACCCCAGUAAAGAUGGACUUUUGAAGACUUGUCCAUUUUUAUUCCUUAUAAACUGCCUAUUUAUGCCCUCUUCAAUUUUCUGUUAAUUUCAUUUUUCUUAUUUAUUGGUUUUAUGUAUUCAGUUUAUUGACCACUUAUAUGUCAUAUUUAUUGCAAAAAUUUCCCUUAGAAUGUAGUUUCCUUUUUUAUUGUAUUACUGAUUUAUUUUUAUACUAUAGAUGUUUAAAAUUUUAAAUGUCCAAAGCUA
rnacentral:lncRNA from 1 species